UAUGGAAGGGCCAUCGCUCAACGGAUAAAAGGUACUCCGGGGAUAACAGGCUGAUACCGCCCAAGAGUUCACAUCGACGGCGGUGUUUGGCACCUCGAUGUCGGCUCAUCUCAUCCUGGGGCUGAAGCCGGUCCCAAGGGUAUGGCUGUUCGCCAUUUAAAGUGGUACGCGAGCUGGGUUUAGAACGUCGUGAGACAGUUCGGUCCCUAUCUGCCGUGGACGUUGGAGAUUUGAGGAAAGCUGCUCCUAGUACGAGAGGACCGGAGUGGACGAACCGCUGGUGUUCGGGUUGUCAUGCCAAUGGCAUUGCCCGGUAGCUAUGUUCGGAACGGAUAACCGCUGAAAGCAUCUAAGCGGGAAGCC
rnacentral:rRNA from 1 species